rnacentral:lncRNA from 1 species
GGGAGAGGCAGGACGAUGUCCGCGGAGUUGCUGUUCCGAGACUGCUGACUGGCGGAGGACAGCAGCGUGUGCGUCUGAACCACAUCUUCACAGAGACUCCAUCUUUCCAUUCAGGGACACCGGGGAGAGCAGAUCUCAAAGCCUGAGAAUGAAGGCAGAGCUGGGAUUAUAAACCAUGAAAGGAGAAGGACCUCUCUCUCUUCACCUGGAGCCUGUGCUGUGUAACAAAUCGACCCCACCGCACCCCAUCAGCAGCCUGCAGAUUCCCUGGGUCAGGAGGCCGGUGAGGUCAAGGCCCUGGUAUCUCUCACCUCCGGCCUCUGGACCAUCUUUUAAAAGCUCGUCUGAUCAGCAAAAUUGCCUUACAGCCCUUUGGUGGCGAAGGUGGCGAAGAUGACGACAGCAAAGCUGCUCACGGC